rnacentral:rRNA from 1 species
GAUGAACGCUGGCGGCGUGCCUAAUACAUGCAAGUCGAGCGAUCAGAUAAGGAUCUUGCUCCUGUUUCGUUAGCGGCGGACGGGUGAGUAACACGUGAGUAACCUACCUAUAUGACUUAAAUAACUGCGACAAGCCGGAGCACAUGCCGGGUAACAUUUACAACCGCAUGGUGCUGAAGUGAAAGAUGGUUUUGCUAUCACUUCUCGAUGGACCCGCGCCGUAUUAGCUAGCUGGUAAGGUAACGGCUUACCAAGGAAACGAUACGUAGCCGACCUGAGAGAGUGAUCGGCCACACUGGAACGGGGACAGGGUCCAGGGUACUACGGGAGGCAGCAGACGCGAACGGGACGCAGUGGGGGGAAGCCUGACGGAGCAACGCAGAGCGUGAUACGGCGGUGUUCGGAGCGUAAAACUGUGUUACGAGGGAAGAACAACUGUGUGAGGAAAAGAAGCCGUCUUGACGGUACCUAAACAGAAAGCAACGGCUAACUACGUG